rnacentral:rRNA from 1 species
AUACGUAGGGUGCAAGCGCUAAUCGGAAUUACUGGGCGUAAAGCGUGCGCAGGCGGUUUUGUAAGACAGAGGUGAAAUCCCCGGGCUCAACCUGGGAACUUCCUUUGUGACUGCAAGGCCAGAGUACGGCAGAGGGGGAUGGAAUUCCGCGGGUAGCAGGGAAAUGCGUAGAUAUGCGGAGGAACACCGAUGGCGAAGGCAAUCCCCUGGGCCUGUACUGACGCUCAUGCACGAAAGCGUGGGGAGCAAACAGGAUUAGAUACCCUGGUAGUCCACGCCCUAAACGAUGUCAACUGGUUGUUGGGUCUUCAUUGACUCAGUAACGAAGCUAACGCGUGAAGUUGACCGCCUGGGGAGUACGGCCGCAAGGUUAAAACUCAAAUGAAUUGACGGGG